rnacentral:siRNA from 1 species
UUUUUAUGUAGUGCUCAUUUU